rnacentral:lncRNA from 1 species
AAGUUUUCAACUUCUUUGCCUUUGGUUUGAAUGUCCUCCCGUAGCUCAGAGUAAUUUGAUCGUCUGAAGUCUUCUUCUCUCAGCUCGUCAAAAUCAUUCUCCAUCCAGCUUUGUUCCGUUGCUGGUGAGGAACUGCGUUCCUUUGGAGGAGGAGAGGCGCUCUGCGUUUUAGAGUUUCCAGUUUUUCUGUUCUGUUUUUUCCCCAUCUUUGUGGUUUUAUCUACUUUUGGUCUUUGAUGAUGUUGAUGUACAGAUGGGUUUUCG